rnacentral:rRNA from 1 species
AUGAGCUCAAGCUUAAAAUCCCCAUGCAUUUUGCAUGGCGAAUUGUAGCCUAUAGAAGCGUGAUCAGUAUGAGCACUUGGGGCAAGUUCCUUGGAAAAGGACAGCAUGGAGGGUGAUACUCCCGUUUAUCUCUGAGUUGCUUGUGCGUACGAUCCGUUUUCUUUGAGUCGCGUUGUUUGAGAAUGCAGCGCAAAGCAGGUGGUAAAUUCCAUCUAAAGCUAAAUAUUGGUGCGAGACCGAUAGCAUACAAGUACCGUGAGGGAAAGAUGAAAAGAACUUUGAAAAUAGAGUUAAAGAGUACCUGAAACUGCUGAAAGGGAACCAAAUCGUUUCCAGUGUCUAUAAUCCGUGGUAUAUUUCAUUGGCGAGUGUGUGCGUGCGUGUACUGUAACAGUGGCCUUUAGGCUGCGCUCAGUGUGUGUGCUGUGUGUACUUGCUGGUGCCCUGUGCUGUGGUGGGACGUCAAGGUCAGUUCGUAUGCUGCGGGAAAUGGCUACCGAGGAGGUAGGGCUUACGCUUGCGUUUGUCUGUUAUAUCUUGGUGGACGACUCGUCGCGGUUGGGACUGAGGUGCUCAUAACGUGCUUUUUGAGUGGGCUUGGGUCUCCGUGUGCGCCGUGUGCGGAUAGCUUGCUAUGUGCGUGUGGUUGUGUGUGGAU